rnacentral:rRNA from 1 species
GAUGAACGCUAGCGGCAGGCCUAACACAUGCAAGUCGAGGGGCAGCACAGAAACAGCAAUGUUUUGGUGGCGACCGGCGGACGGGUGCGUAACGCGUAUGGAACCUACCUUUAACAGGGGGAUAACGGAGAGAAAUUUCCACUAAUACCCCAUAACAUCGAUCAAGGCAUCUUGAUUGGUUGAAAACUCCGGUGGUUAAAGAUGGGCAUGCGUUGUAUUAGGUAGUUGGUGAGGUAAUGGCUCACCAAGCCUACGAUACAUAGGGGGACUGAGAGGUUAGCACCCCACACUGGUACUGAGACGCGGACCAGACUCCUACGGGAGGCAGCAGUGAGGAAUAUUGGUCAAUGGGGGCAACCCUGAACCAGCCAUGCCGCGUGCAGGAAGACGGCUCUAUGAGUUGUAAACUGCUUUUAAACAGGGAUAAAGCACAGUAUGUAUACUGUGUUGAAGGUACUGUAAGAAUAAGGAUCGGCUAACUCCGUGCCAGCAGCCGCGGUAA